UCCUCCGUGGCGCAAUUGGCUAGCGCGUCUGACUGUUAAUCAGGAGGUAAGAUAUCCGAAUAUAUCUGAUAUCUAGUGACGAAAUAAUGUUAACAUAAUUCCAAGGUUGAAAGUUCGAGCCUUUCCGGGGGAG
rnacentral:tRNA from 1 species